GAUGAACGCUGGCGGCGUGCCUAAUACAUGCAAGUCGAGCGAACAGACGAGGAGCUUGCUCCUCUGAUGUUAGCGGCGGACGGGUGAGUAACACGUGGAUAACCUACCUAUAAGACUGGGAUAACUUCGGGAAACCGGAGCUAAUACCGGAUAACAUGUUGAACCGCAUGGUUCAACAGUGAAAGACGGUCUUGCUGUCACUUAUAGCUGGAUCCGCGCCGCAUUAGCUAGUUGGUAAGGUAACGGCUUACCAAGGCAACGAUGCGUAGCCGACCUGAGAGGGUGAACGGCCACACUGGAACUGAGACACGGUCCAGACUCCUACGGGAGGCAGAAGUAGGGAAGCUUCCGAAAUGGGCGAAAGCCUGACGGAGCAACGCCGCGUGAGUGAAGAAGGUCUUCGGAUCGUAAGACUCUGUUAUGAUGGAAGAACAAUUGUGUAAGUAACUAUGCACGUCUUGACGGUACCUAAUCAGAAAGCCACGGCUAACUACGUG
rnacentral:rRNA from 1 species